GAGUUAGCUGUGCGGUUGCGGGGCGGCAUAAGCCGCAACGAGGAAAGUCCGGGCUUCGCAAAGCAGGGUGCCUGCUAACGGCAGGUGGAGGCGACUUUAAGGAAAGUGCAACAGAAAAUAACCGCCGAAAGGUAAGGAUGAAAAGGCGAGGUAAGAGCUCACCGACUUUGCGGUAACGCAAGGUGCAAUGUAAACCCCACCCGAAGCAAGAUAGGGAGGCGCAAAGGGGCUUUGACCUGCGCUUCCAAUCAAAUCGUCGCUCGAGCGCGUCGGCGACGGCGCGCCUAGAUAGAUAACCGCACCAGACAGAACCCGGCUUACAGGCUAACUCGA
rnacentral:RNase_P_RNA from 1 species